rnacentral:rRNA from 1 species
UGCCAGCCGCCGCGGUAAUACGGAGGGAGCUAGCGUUGUUCGGAAUUACUGGGCGUAAAGCGUGCGUAGGCGGAUCGACAAGUUGGGGGUGAAAUCCCGGGGCUUAACCCCGGAACUGCCCUCAAAACUGUCGAUCUAGAGACCGGGAGAGGUAAGCGGAAUUCCUAGUGUAGUGGUGAAAUACGUAGAUAUUAGGAGGAAUACCAGUAGCGAAGGCGACUUUCUGGACACAAACUGACGCUGAGGUACGAAAGCGUGGGGAGCAAACAGGAUUAGAUA